rnacentral:rRNA from 1 species
AUUGAACGCUAGCGGGAUGCCUUACACAUGCAAGUCGAACGGAUUGGCGAACAGGUGCGUAAUGUAACUGAACGUGCCCAUUCGCGGUGGAUAACUACGCGAAAGCGUAGCUAAUACCGCAUACUAUUGGAGCGGCCGAUAUUGGAUUAGCUAGUUGGGGGGGUAACGGCUCACCAAGGCAACGCUCAGUAGCUGGUUUGAGAGGACGACACGACACACUGGGACGGAGACACGGCCCAGACUCCUACGGGAGGCAGCAGUGGGGAAUUUUGGACAAUGGGGGAAACCCUGAUCGAGCCAUGCCGCGUGUGCGAUGAAGGCCUUCGGGUUGUAAAGCACUUUUGGCAGGAAAGCGGUACCUGCAGAAUAAGCACCGGCUAACUACGUGCCAGCAGCCGCGGUAAUAC